GAUGAAGAACGUGGCGAAAUGCGAUAACUAAUGUGAAUUGCAGAAUUCCGUGAAUCAUCGAGUCUUUGAACGCACAUUGCGCCCCCUGGUAUUCCGGGGGGCAUGCCUGUCCGAGCGUCAUUGCUGCCCAUCAAGCACGGCUUGUGUGUUGGGUCCUCGUCCCCCCCGGGGGACGUGCCCGAAAGGCAGCGGCGGCACCGCGUCCGGUCCUCGAGCGUAUGGGGCUUUGUCACCCGCUCUGCAGGCCCGGCCGGCGCUGGCCGACGCGAAAGCAACCAUUUUUUCUCCAGGUUGACCUCGGAUCAGGUAGGGAUACCCGCUGAACUUAAGCAUAUCAAUAAGCGGAGGA
rnacentral:misc_RNA from 1 species